UCUGAUUUAACAUAUAUAUAAUGUGUAAGAGUGUAUAAAUUUUGAUCAUUAUCUGCCUA
rnacentral:tRNA from 1 species